rnacentral:lncRNA from 10 species
AUGAUGAUUUCCAAAAGGGAUAGAUCGCAGUGUAAAUAGUACCAGGGGGAUUGCUUUUGGCUAGGGGAGGUGAAACAACUCUAGGAAUUUAGCCAAUUGUAUUUUAACGAUUCCAUUGGUCCAUUCCACUAACCCUGUGGACUAGGGGUGGUAGGCACAAUGGAAAUAUUAAAAUAUGGGACAAAUUUUGAAAAUAUUUUAUUAACUUGGUCAGUAAAAUGAGUUCCUUUAUCACUAUGAAGUUCAGAGGGGACUCCCAAUAGUGAAAUAACUUUCUUGAAUAGGAUUUUUCCACCUGCCAUUGCAGUCCCUUGCUUGCAAAGAAAAGCCACAACCCAAUGGGAAAAUAUGCAGAUUAUUACAAAAACAUAGUUGUAAACUUGACGUGAUGUCAAAUGGAUGAAAUCAAGUUUCCGUGUAUCAAAAGGUCCAGCUGCAAGGAGAAAAUGACCUUGGGCCCUUUGGAGGGGGUUCUCUGGGUUAUGUUUGGGACAAAUGAAAUGCUGAAAAUAAACCUUUUCUGCCAUCAUGAAGGACAGUUUCCAGUAAUAUUUUUUACACCAGGAUAUCAUUUUAUGUGAAUUCCCAUGUGUCAGAUUAUGAAUAUGUUCCAUAAGGAGCACCUGACAUCUUAUUGAAAUAAUGGGUUUAUUAUUAAUUACAUCCAUACCAUAUUUCAGUUUCAGGAUAAAAUUAUCCUCCUUUUUGUUUCCAACUAGAUUUUUCAUUUGGUGGGGCUAUGCCUUGAGUUUUUUUCUUUUAACAUGAUUUUAAGUGACUUAGGUUUUGUGGCCAUUCUGUGGAUCUGGGCUGGGUGGCUCAAAUGCUGCUCUUUUAGCUGUAGUGUCUGUAAAUUGGUUACCCCAACUUUCAGUGAUGUCCAACUUAGAGUGACCUGGGACUUUUAUAAUCAUGAAAAGUUUUGAUUUUAGAAUUGUUGCUAACAGCUCUUACACUUUUCCAUUUUUAUGGGUUGUCCUGAGUAGGUUAAAGAUCCUCUCUCCUUCCAUAGCAUCUUAAAGUCAUGGGAAACCACAAAAGUAUAGUGACUGUCAGUGUAUAUAUUCAUAGGCCUUUCUUUUGCAAUUCAAUUGACAAGCUCAGGUCAGGGAAAUCAAUUCAGCCACUUGAGUUAAUCUGCCUUUGGGAAGAGGACUGGCUUCAAUGACCUCUAAUGAGAAAACCAUGGCACAUUCCUCUCUAAAGCUACCGUCCUCCCAUCUUAAGUAAGACCUAUCUGUAAACCACUCUAUCUCAGCAUUAUCCAGUGGCAUCUAUUGUAGAUCCAUCCUGGAGGUGAGAAACUGGUCAGCCGUCAGACUACAUUCAUGAGGGGUAUCAUCAGAAGGACUUGGUAAUGUAGUAGUCAGGUUAAGAUUGUUAGAAUGAAAAAUGGUAAUAUUUGAAGAUGAUGGAAGUAAAACUUCAUAGGAGCUUAACCUAUUGACAGACAGGUGUUGAGCAUGGUGAGAGUUUAGAAGGUCUUCAAGAGAAUGUGGUGCAAACAUGGCAAUAAAGGAACCCAUAAUUAUUUAUUCAACAGACUUGUACAAAAGGAUAGUGGCUGAGAUGUCUCACAUACUGGGAGGCAGCCCUUGAGCCACGGGGCUUAGCUGUUGGCUAUAGCAUCCUAUAGGCCUCUGAUGAUUAGCAUGUUUCUGGGUCGGUACCCCAUAUGAAGAGGGGAAAGGCAACUUGUAGUUAGGGUGCCCUAUGGCUGGAGUGUUUGUUAGCGUUUAUUUUAUUCAUUGUAUGACAUAUUGUUCCUCUGGACCCCACAUGGUGGGAUCAGGCUGUUCAUUUUUUAGGUAUGUAUACAGAAGUUGAGCUAUGAGGGAGAAAUUUGGUAUCCAGUUUCUACAAUAGCUGGCCAGUCCCCAAAACUCUCUAAGUUGUUUCUUUGUGAUGGUCAUUGAGAAAGCUAAAUUCCUCUCUCUAUUAGGGGUAAUGCUGAAUCCCUCCACCGAGAUAAUGUGCCCCAAAUACUUAACUUGAGGCAAGCAUAGCUGGAGUUUGUCUUUGGACACUUUCUGUCCCUUAUUAG